UGGGAGAUCAUAGCAAAGGUAUGGUGGUCUUGAUCCUUGUCUAAUUUUCCAUUCAAGGAGCCAAAUCCAAAGUUAUUUCAAAGUAUGAAAAAUCUAGGUUUUCACUCAAUCUCAUGGGUUCUUCCACCAAAUGGUUUUAAAAGGUUUCUAAUGGCACUUUAUGGUUAUAUUGUUGUUGUAUUGACGAUUUAAGAUGAAAAUACUCCAUGAACCCAUGAUUUCUUUCUAUUCCUAGUUUAUGCCUUUAUAAAGUGGGUUGCUUGAUAAUGAAUGUAUAUGAAUCGAACUUGUUUAAAUGUCUUUAGAUUGUUGAAGUAUGUCAUUACUCAUGCUUAGUUUAUGGUGUAUUGUUGGUGUAUUGGUAUGAGAGGCUUAUGGCCUUAAAGGCAAAGUAUGAGAAAUUGAAGUGUUAUCAUGACAUUGUAUGAAUGAGAGUUCAAUGAAGAUAAUGUGAUCAUGUUAUGAAUGUAAAGGUGUUGUUGUAGGUUGUUCACUGGUUUGGUUGCAUAAUUACUACCCUAUUUUCCAUGCUCUUUGAUUCCAUUACAUGCCUUCAAGGUGUUUGACAAAAUGUCCAACUAUGGAGAAUUGAUGAAUCGAUGCUUUAAAGCUUGAGUUAUGAGAUGUAUGGAAAUUCCAUAGAUGUGUUGAUGACACUCAUGAAUGUUGAUGAUAUAAUAUGAAGGAUUCUUCAAUAUAAAGUAUACCUUGAAUUGGUAGGGCUUAUGCAUCAUUUUCUUGUAUAAAUGAUUAUAUUGUUGAUUGUUGAAUCCUUGGAUCGGUAGGCUUAUGGCACCCUUCCACACAUGCUUAUAAUGAACCUUGGAUCGGUAGGCUAAUGGCACCCUUCCAUUAAUGAUAAGUAAUGAACCUUGGAAUCGGCAGGCUUAUGGCACCCUUUCAUGUGUUAAAUAAUGUACCUUGAAUCGGUAGGCUUAUGGCACCCUUUCAUGUGUUAAAUAAUGUACCUUGAAUCGGUAGGCUUAUGGCACCCUUUCAUGUGUUAAAUAAUGUACCUUGAAUCGGUAGGCUUAUGGCACCCUUUCAUGUGUUAAAUAAUGUACCUUGAAUCGGUAGGCUUAUGGCACCCUUUCAUGUGUUAAAUAAUGUACCUUGAAUCGGUAGGCUUAUGGCACCCUUUCAUGUGUUAAAUAAUGUACCUUGAAUCGGUAGGCUUAUGGCACCCUUUCAUGUGUUAAAUAAUGUACCUUGAAUCGGUAGGCUUAUGGCACCCUUUCAUGUGUUAAAUAAUGUACCUUGAAUCGGUAGGCUUAUGGCACCCUUUCAUGUGUUAAAUAAUGUACCUUGAAUCGGUAGGCUUAUGGCACCCUUUCAUGUGUUAAAUAAUGUACCUUGAAUCGGUAGGCUUAUGGCACCCUUUCAUGUGUUAAAUAAUGUACCUUGAAUCGGUAGGCUUAUGGCACCCUUUCAUGUGUUAAAUAAUGUACCUUGAAUCGGUAGGCUUAUGGCACCCUUUCAUGUGUGAUGAUGUCAAAGUAAUGAACUAUUCUAUGGGAAUGUAGGCUAAGCACCGAGCGGAUUUGGUUAGAUGGAAACUCCCCCGACAGUUAGGCAUGAGUUUCAAUGAUCGUCUACCUUAUCCCAUAAACUAUGUGCCCGCAUAGGAAGCUAGUGGAUCCAUUAAGCUAUAUAUACCGGUCUUCCUUAGGCAAGUAGACCACCUCUUUUCGGUGUGGGGACUCAUGACACCGGAUUCCAUGACAAGCUCUCAUGGUCUAUGUCGGUUAAAUGCUUACUUCCCAUCAUGUGAGAUUUCAUUAUGGUUUCUUGACAGGUUCUACAAAGUGUAGGUAGUAGUAUGGGAUGCUACCUAUACAUUGCACGAGUAGGCUUGGAGAGGGUCAUAGUGAGUUUCUCUAAAUCCUAAUGACUGUGACAUGAAUGUACCCUAAAUGAGGUUAUUAAAGAAUGUUGGCUCUUAAAUGCUUAAUAUGUUAUGCAUGUUAUACUUGGGUUAUAUUACGAGUUAUUUUCCCUUGUCAUGUCUUAAUUAAUGAUAUACCUCUUAUGUAUGAAUAUUGUGCAAAGGUGAAAGAAAGGAAUGAUAAGUUACUUUAAGUGACCUAAAUGUGGUGCCUUAGUAUGGAUGGUGGUAUGGGACGCCAUCCAUACAUUGCACGAGGUAUAGCAUAAGGGUUUCUUGAGGUGAAGGUCCAAGGUAAAGGUUUUCAUGUUGAUAUUGUUUAAAGGUGAUAUUAUGACUUACUUGAUGUUAUGCUUGUCUUGUAUGUCUUUUAUGCUAUUGUUCAUGAUAUUUCAAAAAGGUGGCAUAAUGCAUGGUUUCUAACUAAAAUGUCCCUUUUAAAGCAUGUUUUGCAUGGUCAUCAUACUUAGUACAUUUUUGUGUACUAACCCAUAUUCUUCAUGUUUUUACUACAAGUGUAGGUUCCGGCAAGUGAUCCCUCUUAGCUAGUUUGAAGUGUUGGAUUGCUUUCCUCCAAGACUUGGUAUGUCCUCAUGGAUUCGAGGACAAGACUUUUAAGUUCUUUUGUUCAUGUAAUAGACUUAAUAGACUUCUUUUGAUUGUAAAGGGCCGUGUCCCUACUUAUGUUUUGCGACUGUGUCUAAGAUGGCCAUGUGAGACUUAGACUUCCGCUGUGUGUUUUUAAAGUUGUUUUAAGAAGUUUAAAUGUGU
rnacentral:lncRNA from 1 species